CAACCAUUUCCUGGCGGAAGUGUUCUCAGGGAUGUUUCCUGUUUCUUCAGCGAGUCCUCCUUCCACUAACACUGCUGCGAACAGGAAGCAUCGCGGCCGGUGCCCUGCCCCUCUGUGCACUGUCUACCAGAUUCCCAGGCAGUGAAACAAUGACCAGCCGCGGCAGGAACCCUGGCCCUCCGGGGUGGAUGAACCGCUUCAAGAGCACCGUGACCGGGUAGCACAGGACCCCACCAGCUCAACUGAGACGUGACAUGGGGGACAGUAUUUCUGCUCAAUCGGUCGGUGGUCCAGCACCUCUGCUACGGCCUCCUCCAGAGCUGCGUCGCUUCUGGGGAGGGGGGUGGUUAACAGAAAAUGGAAAGAAAGAAGCAGAUAAGAGUUCUCCAGCUGCCCAGAAGGAUCUCCAGCUCCCCACCAUGAGGAAGGAGUGCAUGCCCUAUGCAAACACACAGACAUCACUUUACCCGCCUUACCCCUCUCCACUCUCUGACGUGGCAUUGGAAGCAGCAUUUGACCAGCAUAUGGAGUCUUGCUUCAAACUCAGAAUCAUCCUGUCUUAGCCUCUCCAAUGCUGAAAUUGCAUGUGCAGACCACUGUUCCUGGCAACAUGAGACUCUUGCAAAGCAAUAAGAGAAUCCUAUACCCAAGACCCCAGUCACGUGACACAGUAUCUCCAGAGACUAGGGAAGUUCCCUAUCUCCAAAACAGCAAAGAUUUUCCAAGAUGGCUGUGGACCAAAGUGACAGGAAAACUCUAGAUAAAUGGCUCAGAGAUGACUGACUCCCUGAAGCCAGAAGGGGUGUGAACACUGUGGCCUCGUGUCCUUGCUGAAGAGGACCAGAGCAAGGCUGAGAGAGGAGUGUGAGGAAGGGCCGAGACAGUCCAAAUCCCUGUAACAGUGCAGCUGAAUCACGGCCAGCCAGACCCCAGCGUGAGGAAAGGGACCAAAGUCACUUCACAGCGUGAAGGGAAGAGAAGUGGUCUCCAAUUGUCAAAUGAGCAUCAAACUCUGGGGCUCAGCCAAGGCCUGCAGCAGAUGGCAGGAACGCGUUGUCACCGGUGGCAGUCCUGGGCCUGGGGUGACCAAAGACAUGCAGCCUUCUCUUCCUUCCCACCCCACAUUAGCACCACCCUCUGCUGCCCAGGCCCGCCUUGAUUGGACGUCCCCAAACCAUAGUGUGUGUGUGUGUGUGUGUGUGUGGCGCGCUCGGGUGCACACUGUGAGAUCCUCUCUGCACUACUCACUGUCAGGAAGCGGCAGAACACCACCUGGACAAUCACAGAUUAGGACUGAGUCUAACCCUGCUCCUUACUUGAUAUGGGGUCCUGGUUCCUAUAUAAAGCAAGGGCAGGACUGGCAGGAUGGCUCAGUGGGCAAAGGCUGUCAGUCUUGACACCCGUGUUCAGUUCCUAAGACCAACAUGGUGGGCAGCGUUGGGAAUCUUGCCAAGCUGUUCUCUGACCUUAACAGAUGCGCUUGCUGCUGCAUGCUUCCCGCCCCACCCCCACAAAAUGUAUAAAUAAAUGUUAACAAUUUUUAUUGUAUGGGCUAGAGAGAUGGCUCAUGUAUUGUUCUCCAGAGGAUCC